AGGGUUCGAUUAUGGCUCAGGAUGAACGCUAGCUACAGGCUUAACACAUGCAAGUCGAGGGGCAGCAUGGUCUUAGCUUGCUAAGACUGAUGGCGACCGGCGCACGGGUGAGUAACACGUAUCCAACCUGCCGUCUACUCUUGGACAGCCUUCUGAGAGGAAGAUUAAUACAAGAUGGCAUCAUGAGUCCGCAUGUUCACAUGAUUAAAGGUAUUCCGGUAGACGAUGGGGAUGCGUUCCAUUAGAUAGUAGGCGGGGUAACGGCCCACCUAGUCUUCGAUGGAUAGGGGUUCUGAGAGGAAGGUCCCCCACAUUGGAACUGAGACACGGUCCAA
rnacentral:rRNA from 1 species